ACGGACGGAAGUUUUCGGAUGGAAGACUGUAAUUCUUAGUGGCGGACGGGUGAGUAACGCGUGGGCAACCUGCCCUAUACAGGGGGAUAGCAGCUGGAAACGGCUGGUAAGACCGCAUAAGUCGGCGAGACCGCAUGGUUUUGCCGGGAAAUGAGCAAUCAGGUAUAGGAUGGGCCCGCGUCCGAUUAGCCAGUUGGCAGGGUAAAAGCCUACCAAAGCAACGAUCGGUAGCCGGACUGAGAGGUCGGACGGCCACAUUGGGACUGAGACACGGCCCAAACUCCUACGGGAGGCAGCAGUGGGGGAUAUUGCACAAUGGAGGAAACUCUGAUGCAGCGACGCCGCGUGAGUGAAGAAGUAUUUCGGUAUGUAAAGCUCUAUCAGCAGGGAAGAUGAUGACGGUACCUGACUAAGAAGCCCCGGCUAACUACGUGCCAGCAGCCGCGGUAAUACGUAGGGGGCAAGCGUUAUCCGGAUUUACUGGGUGUAAAGGGAGCGCAGGCGGUUUGGCAAGUUGAGAGUGGAAGCAGGGGGCUCAACCCCCUGACUGCUCCCAAAACUGUUAAACUUGAGUAUGGGAGAGGCAGGCGGAAUUCCUAGUGUAGCGGUGAAAUGCUUAGAUAUUAGGAAGAACACCGGUGGCGAAGGCGGCCUGCUGGACCAAAACUGACGCUGAGGCUCGAAAGCGUGGGUAGCAAACAGGAUUAGAUGCCCUGGUAGUCCACGCUGUAAACGAUGAAUACUAGGUGCUGGGAGGCAUAAG
rnacentral:rRNA from 1 species